rnacentral:rRNA from 1 species
CAGCAGCCGCGGGAAUACGAAGGGUGCAAGCGUUAAUCGGAAUUACUGGGCGUAAAGCGUGCGUAGGCGGUUUGUUAAGUCUGUUGUGAAAUCCCCCGGCUCAACCUGGGAAUGGCAAUGGAUACUGGCAAGCUAGAGUGUGUCAGAGGAUGGUGGAAUUCCCGGUGUAGCGGUGAAAUGCGUAGAGAUCGGGAGGAACAUCAGUGGCGAAGGCGGCCACCUGGGACAACACUGACGCUGAGGCACGAAAGCGUGGGGAGCAAACAGGAUUAGAUACCCGCGUAGUCCCUGUCUCUUAUAA